GGGUUGUGAGGUUAAGCGACUAAGCGUACACGGUGGAUGCCCUGGCAGUCAGAGGCGAUGAAGGACGUGCUAAUCUGCGAUAAGCGUCGGUAAGGUGAUAUGAACCGUUAUAACCGGCGAUUUCCGAAUGGGGAAACCCAGUGUGUUUCGACACACUAUCAUUAACUGAAUCCAUAGGUUAAUGAGGCGAACCGGGGGAACUGAAACAUCUAAGUACCCCGAGGAAAAGAAAUCAACCGAGAUUCCCCCAGUAGCGGCGAGCGAACGGGGAGGAGCCCAGAGCCUGAAUCAGUGUGUGUGUUAGUGGAAGCGUCUGGAAAGGCGCGCGAUACAGGGUGACAGCCCCGUACACAAAAAUGCACAUGCUGUGAGCUCGAUGAGUAGGGCGGGACACGUGGUAUCCUGUCUGAAUAUGGGGGGACCAUCCUCCAAGGCUAAAUACUCCUGACUGACCGAUAGUGAACCAGUACCGUGAGGGAAAGGCGAAAAGAACCCCGGCGAGGGGAGUGAAAAAGAACCUGAAACCGUGUACGUACAAGCAGUGGGAGCACAGAGCAAUCUGUGUGACUGCGUACCUUUUGUAUAAUGGGUCAGCGACUUAUAUUCUGUAGCAAGGUUAACCGAAUAGGGGAGCCGAAGGGAAACCGAGUCUUAACUGGGCGUUAAGUUGCAGGGUAUAGACCCGAAACCCGGUGAUCUAGCCAUGGGCAGGUUGAAGGUUGGGUAACACUAACUGGAGGACCGAACCGACUAAUGUUGAAAAAUUAGCGGAUGACUUGUGGCUGGGGGUGAAAGGCCAAUCAAACCGGGAGAUAGCUGGUUCUCCCCGAAAGCUAUUUAGGUAGCGCCUCGUGAAUUCAUCUCCGGGGGUAGAGCACUGUUUCGGCAAGGGGGUCAUCCCGACUUACCAACCCGAUGCAAACUGCGAAUACCGGAGAAUGUUAUCACGGGAGACACACGGCGGGUGCUAACGUCCGUCGUGAAGAGGGAAACAACCCAGACCGCCAGCUAAGGUCCCAAAGUCAUGGUUAAGUGGGAAACGAUGUGGGAAGGCCCAGACAGCCAGGAUGUUGGCUUAGAAGCAGCCAUCAUUUAAAGAAAGCGUAAUAGCUCACUGGUCGAGUCGGCCUGCGCGGAAGAUGUAACGGGGCUAAACCAUGCACCGAAGCUGCGGCAGCGACACUGUGUGUUGUUGGGUAGGGGAGCGUUCUGUAAGCCUGUGAAGGUGUGCUGUGAGGCAUGCUGGAGGUAUCAGAAGUGCGAAUGCUGACAUAAGUAACGAUAAAGCGGGUGAAAAGCCCGCUCGCCGGAAGACCAAGGGUUCCUGUCCAACGUUAAUCGGGGCAGGGUGAGUCGACCCCUAAGGCGAGGCCGAAAGGCGUAGUCGAUGGGAAACAGGUUAAUAUUCCUGUACUUGGUGUUACUGCGAAGGGGGGACGGAGAAGGCUAUGUUGGCCGGGCAACGGUUGUCCCGGUUUAAGCGUGUAGGCUGGUUUUCCAGGCAAAUCCGGAAAAUCAAGGCUGAGGCGUGAUGACGAGGCACUACGGUGCUGAAGCAACAAAUGCCCUGCUUCCAGGAAAAGCCUCUAAGCAUCAGGUAACAUCAAAUCGUACCCCAAACCGACACAGGUGGUCAGGUAGAGAAUACCAAGGCGCUUGAGAGAACUCGGGUGAAGGAACUAGGCAAAAUGGUGCCGUAACUUCGGGAGAAGGCACGCUGAUAUGUAGGUGAAGUCCCUCGCGGAUGGAGCUGAAAUCAGUCGAAGAUACCAGCUGGCUGCAACUGUUUAUUAAAAACACAGCACUGUGCAAACACGAAAGUGGACGUAUACGGUGUGACGCCUGCCCGGUGCCGGAAGGUUAAUUGAUGGGGUCAGCGCAAGCGAAGCUCUUGAUCGAAGCCCCGGUAAACGGCGGCCGUAACUAUAACGGUCCUAAGGUAGCGAAAUUCCUUGUCGGGUAAGUUCCGACCUGCACGAAUGGCGUAAUGAUGGCCAGGCUGUCUCCACCCGAGACUCAGUGAAAUUGAACUCGCUGUGAAGAUGCAGUGUACCCGCGGCAAGACGGAAAGACCCCGUGAACCUUUACUAUAGCUUGACACUGAACAUUGAGCCUUGAUGUGUAGGAUAGGUGGGAGGCUUUGAAGUGUGGACGCCAGUCUGCAUGGAGCCGACCUUGAAAUACCACCCUUUAAUGUUUGAUGUUCUAACGUGGACCCGUGAUCCGGGUUGCGGACAGUGUCUGGUGGGUAGUUUGACUGGGGCGGUCUCCUCCUAAAGAGUAACGGAGGAGCACGAAGGUUGGCUAAUCCUGGUCGGACAUCAGGAGGUUAGUGCAAUGGCAUAAGCCAGCUUGACUGCGAGCGUGACGGCGCGAGCAGGUGCGAAAGCAGGUCAUAGUGAUCCGGUGGUUCUGAAUGGAAGGGCCAUCGCUCAACGGAUAAAAGGUACUCCGGGGAUAACAGGCUGAUACCGCCCAAGAGUUCAUAUCGACGGCGGUGUUUGGCACCUCGAUGUCGGCUCAUCACAUCCUGGGGCUGAAGUAGGUCCCAAGGGUAUGGCUGUUCGCCAUUUAAAGUGGUACGCGAGCUGGGUUUAGAACGUCGUGAGACAGUUCGGUCCCUAUCUGCCGUGGGCGCUGGAGAACUGAGGGGGGCUGCUCCUAGUACGAGAGGACCGGAGUGGACGCAUCACUGGUGUUCGGGUUGUCAUGCCAAUGGCACUGCCCGGUAGCUAAAUGCGGAAGAGAUAAGUGCUGAAAGCAUCUAAGCACGAAACUUGCCCCGAGAUGAGUUCUCCCUGACCCUUUAAGGGUCCUGAAGGAACGUUGAAGACGACGACGUUGAUAGGCCGGGUGUGUAAGCGCAGCGAUGCGUUGAGCUAACCGGUACUAAUGAACCGUGAGGCUUAACCUUACAACGCCGAAGGUGUUU
rnacentral:rRNA from 3 species